GCUAUUUUAUUUUCGUGUUAAUGGUGAAUUGAGGGAGAUGCAUUGGAAGAUUAAACCGUGGACUGGUGGAAUAGUUCUAACUUGAUGAUAUUACUCGCUGAAAUUUUGGUUUUCUAUAAAAUUUGGGAUAUGGGUUUCUUUAAUCGGACUUUACUUGUUUGGGAUCCGAGUUUACUGAUUUAUAGUUCAGAACCUCAGCGAUCAACCAGUUGAAACUGCUUUUGCUUGGUAAAUUUGAAUUUCUUCUUCCUCUUAGAGCCAG
rnacentral:misc_RNA from 1 species